CCUACGGGCGGCAGCAGUGAGGAAUAUUGGUCAAUGGCCGGAAGGCUGAACCAGCCAAGCCGCGUGAAAGACGAAGGUGCCAAGCAUUGUAAACUUCUUUUGUCAAGGGACAAAAUCAGGCUCGAGAGCCUGACCGAGGGUACUUGAAGAAAAAGCAUCGGCUAACUCCGUGCCAGCAGCCGCGGUAAUACGGAGGAUGCGAGCGUUCUCCGGCUUUAGUGGGGUUAAAGGGUGCGUAGGCGGACUGUUAAGGCGGCGGUAAAAGCCAGGGGCGCAACCCCGGCGAGCCGUUGAAACUGGCUGUCUUGAGAUGUAGAGAGGUAUGCGGAAUGCGCAGUGUAGCGGUGAAAUGC
rnacentral:rRNA from 1 species